UGGGUGAAGGAGGAAAGCCCUAGGGCUGCUCCAGCACAGCAGCCUGAAGAGGUGCAGCAGGUGCAGCCCCCGCAGGAGGAUGCAGGCCAGGAGCGGACAGAAGAGCAGCUCCGUGCCCGUGGCCGCUUCCGCAGGGCAGCACAGCUGGUUUGCAGAUUCAUCAGGUGCAUUUGGCGUGAAGAGGCCACUUUCAUGGCCACUGGGGACACGGCAAACUCGGACCUCUUCAAUGCCCAGACCAGCGCUGCCCUGCUGGAUAUGCUGGUGGAGAACGGUGUCUACAAAGCAAAGCAAGUAAGCAGCCUGUGGCCAGGGCUCCAGUCCCCCAGGGAUGCUGUGGCCCCUCACACCGGCUGCGCUGGGCCCCCUCAGCCUUUGAGACUAGCAGAGUGUGGUGGCAAGGGGAGCACUUCUUGGGGGAAA